GCUUGCUCCUUGGGUGGCGAGUGGCGGACGGGUGAGGAAUACAUCGGAAUCUACUUUUUCGUGGGGGAUAACGUAGGGAAACUUACGCUAAUACCGCAUACGACCUACGGGUGAAAGCAGGGGACCUUCGGGCCUUGCGCGAUUGAAUGAGCCGAUGUCGGAUUAGCUAGUUGGCGGGGUAAAGGCCCACCAAGGCGACGAUCCGUAGCUGGUCUGAGAGGAUGAUCAGCCACACUGGAACUGAGACACGGUCCAGACUCCUACGGGAGGCAGCAGUGGGGAAUAUUGGACAAUGGGCGCAAGCCUGAUCCAGCCAUACCGCGUGGGUGAAGAAGGCCUUCGGGUUGUAAAGCCCUUUUGUUGGGAAAGAAAUCCAGCCGGCUAAUACCUGGUUGGGAUGACGGUACCCAAAGAAUAAGCACCGGCUAACUUCGUGCCAGCAGCCGCGGUAAUACGAAGGGUGCAAGCGUUACUCGGAAUUACUGGGCGUAAAGCGUGCGUAGGUGGUUGUUUAAGUCUGUUGUGAAAGCCCUGGGCUCAACCUGGGAACUGCAGUGGAAACUGGACAACUAGAGUGUGGUAGAGGGUAGCGGAAUUCCCGGU
rnacentral:rRNA from 1 species